rnacentral:snRNA from 1 species
GUGCUCACUUUGGCAGCUCAAACACUAAAAUUGAAAUGAUACAGAGAAGAUUAGCAUGGCCUCUGCACAAGCAUGACACACAAAUUUGUGAAGUGUUCUGUAUUUGG